AUUGAACGCUGGCGGCAUGCCUAACACAUGCAAGUCGAACGGAGGUAGGGGCAACUCUACUUCAGUGGCGGACGGGUGAGGAAUGCGUCGGAAUCUACCCUAUGGUGGGGGAUAACACAGGGAAACUUGUGCUAAUACCGCAUAAUGUCGAGAGACCAAAGCAGGGGACCGCAAGGCCUUGCGCGAUAGGAUGAGCCGACGCCCGAUUAGCUAGUUGGUAGGGUAAAGGCCUACCAAGGCGACGAUCGGUAGCUGGUCUGAGAGGAUGAUCAGCCACACUGGGACUGAGACACGGCCCAGACUCCUACGGGAGGCAGCAGUGGGGAAUAUUGGGCAAUGGGCGCAAGCCUGAUCCAGCAAUGCCGCGUGUGUGAAGAAGGCCUGCGGGUUUGUAAAGCACUUUUGUUCGGGAAAAAUCAUGCUGGUUAAUACCUGGUAUGGAUGACGGUACCGAAAGAAUAAGCACCGGCUAACUUCGUGCC
rnacentral:rRNA from 1 species